rnacentral:misc_RNA from 1 species
GAUGAAGAACGUAGCGAAAUGCGAUAAGUAAUGUGAAUUGCAGAAUUCAGUGAAUCAUCGAAUCUUUGAACGCACAUUGCGCCCCCUGGCAUUCCGGGGGGCAUGCCUGUCCGAGCGUCAUUGCUGCCCUCAAGCACGGCUUGUGUGUUGGGCCUCCGUCCUCCUCCCGGGGGACGGGCCCGAAAGGCAGCGGCGGCACCGCGUCCGGUCCUCGAGCGUAUGGGGCUUCGUCACCCGCUCUUGUAGGCCCGGCCGGCGCUUGCCGACACAUCAAUCUUUUUUCCAGGUUGACCUCGGAUCAGGUAGGGAUACCCGCUGAACUUAAGCAUAUCAAUAAGCGGAGGA